UACGAAGGGGGCUAGCGUUGUUCGGAAUCACUGGGCGUAAAGGGCGCGUAGGCGGCGCGACAAGUCAGGCGUGAAAGCCCCGGGCUCAACCCGGGAAUUGCGCUUGAUACUGUCGUGCUUGAGGCCGGGAGAGGAUGGCGGAAUUCCCAGUGUAGAGGUGAAAUUCGUAGAUAUUGGGAAGAACACCGGUGGCGAAGGCGGCCAUCUGGACCGGUUCUGACGCUGAGGCGUGAAAGCGUGGGGAGCAAACAGG
rnacentral:rRNA from 1 species